AUGUCGUUGAUAAAUGCUGACAAAUGUUCAGCAUAUCGGCCUGACAACAAGGGGUCCUUUCCUAUACACAUAGCAAACAAGGCUUGUGUAGUUCGUGUGUUGUUGGAGAAGUGCCCCGACUGCGCUGAACUAAGGGACGCCCAGGGCAGAACCUUCCUCCAUCUUGUCAUCUGUGACAAAAAAGACACUCUAUUUCGUUAUAUUUUUGGUCUUUUUCGUGCGAGCCAUCAAGUGUGGAGGUUUGCAUCGAUCAUGGAUAAGCAGGACAAUGAAGGUAACACAGGGUUACACCUUGCUGUCCUGGCUGGAAGAGUACGUACUUUACAUUGCUUACUGUGGAACAAGGAAAUCCAGCUGAAUUUACCAAAUAACAAUGGGCAAACUGCAUUAGAUCUUGCACUGAGCAAGAAACCCACUGGUGUUCAUUUUGGGGUGGAUUCGGGGUAUCAGAUAUACACUCUGCUAGCGGCUGCUGGUGCUAAAUAUGGUGCUCACCUUAAAGAACACGGUCCUCAACUAAAUGAGAAGGAGGAAGCAGAGAAAAUCAACGGUUACAUACCGACCAUUGGCAUUGCUGCAGCACUCCUCAUAACGGUUUCAUUCACAUCCGCUUUCUCUGUACCAGGUGGGUACCGAGCCGGUGAUGAUCAACAUAAAGCUGGGACUCCGGUGCUUGCCCAGAACUACUUUUUUUUGGGGUUCAUCAUGGCCAACAAUCUAGCAUUGCUUUGCUCUGGCCUUUCCCUUGUCAGCCUCAUGUACGCCGGACUGACCAUCAUCGACCUCAGAAUACGUGCGAAAGCAUUUAUCCUCUCCAUCAUGGGCCUCAACAGCGCAGUCCGGAGCCUGACAGCCGCAUUUUCAGUUGGCAUAUAUGCAGUGUUGGCUCCGAUUGACCGUACAUAUGUUGUUGUUACGAUGGCGUUUAGCAGUGUCAUGCUGCUUGACAUUGGUUGGUUUGUGUACAUGGCAACUGCGGCGCAAUUGGUGCAUUUUAAUAGGCUUGGUACCAGAGCAUGCUUGCGGUUUGCGUUUACAAUGGUAGCCACCCUUAUGGUGUCUCUCUGGCCAUACGCAUUAACUAUCAUUUUCUUGAUAUAUUCUAGAAUCUACGGAGUCCACUAA
rnacentral:rRNA from 1 species